CUCUUGGUACUCCGUUCUGUAAAUUCUUGGGAACUUAAAGCGCGCCGUGGUUGGGUUUCGUUCAAGUCUGGAAUGUGGAAUCCCCUGUUCUCAACCUGGAUAACUGCAUCCGAAACUGGCGAGCUAGAGUUCGGUAGAGGGUGGUGGAAUUUCCUGUGUAGCGUUGUAAUGCGUAUAUAUUGGAAGCAUCACCAGUGUCGUCGGCGUCCACCUGGACUGAUACUGACACUCAGGUGCGAUAGCGUGUGGAGCAAACAGGAUUAGAUACCCUGUAGUCCCGCCGUAUACGAUGUCACUUGACGUUUGGGUUCCUUGAGAACUUAGUUGCCGGAGCUAACGCAUUAAGUAGACCGCCUGGCGGAGUACGGAACGUUAGGUUAAAAACUCAAAUGAAUUGACGGGUUCCCGCACAAGCGGUGGACAUGUUGGUUUAAUUCGGAAGCAACGCCGAAGAACCUUACCUGGGUUUGACUUCACAAAACUUUCCGAAGAUCGCAUUGGUGCCUCUGGAAACUUUUGACACAGGUGCUUCAUGUCUUAACGUAAACCUCGGGCUAUUGAAAUGUUUGUUUUAUGUCCCGGUACGAAGGGCAACCCCUUGUCCUUUUUUUCCCCCCCUUUUUCGUGAACCUCAAGUAUAUUGCCGGGUAAAACUGUAAGAAAGGGGGUUCCCCAAUUCAUCUUCCCUCCCAGGGUAACCCGCCCCCCUAGUGUCAAAGACUGUCAGGCCUGAGUCCCUAACUCGCUUAAAAUUUGAUCUCGGUUUAAACUCCCAUCCUCUUUUUCCCAAAUCUCAAAACCUUAAACCUUUUCGCGUAACUUUCGCAAAAAAUAAAACUACUAAUC
rnacentral:rRNA from 1 species